CCCUCUGAGACGAAAGCGCUGCACAAGCUGGUAUAACAGCACAGAGUGGGCAUGUUUGGUCAGCUCGUUUGUUGGGGGCUUGCCGGUCACACUUUUUGCAUAGGAGCACCUCCAACAGAAGACCUCACGCUGGAGCAAAUAAAUACGCCUGGAAGGAACUGCAGCCCAUGGAGAGCACACACAGAAGCUGGUUUGGACUGAAGGACUGAAGCCCAUGGAGGGGAUCCAUGCUGGAGCAGGGGGAUGGUGUGCAGAAGAAGCAGCAACAGAGAGGAGCUGUCAUGGACUGAUCACAAUCCCCAUUCCCCACUCUUUUGUACUGCUCAGGAGACAGAGGAGUCUGGAGUGAAGAAGUAAAGCUGACCCUGGGGAAGCAGGGAGGAAAGGAUUGAAGAUGUUAAAGGUGAAGUAUUUAGUCACAUUUUCAACUGGAAAUGUCAGAAGAGUAGAAAGUUAAGAUUUGGAGGAAGAUAUACUCUGUAUUACAUUCCUGUGUCAAAAGCACAAGCAGUUGGAUUGAAACCCAAAGGAAUGCAGGGAAAAGGU